GAUGAAGAACGUAGCGAAAUGCGAUAAGUAAUGUGAAUUGCAGAAUUCAGUGAAUCAUCGAAUCUUUGAACGCACCUUGCGCCUUUUGGUAUUCCGAAAGGCACACCUGUUUGAGCGUCAUGAAUACCUCAAUCUCCAUCUUUUCUUCGGAUUGAUGGGUGACUUGGAUGUUGAGCCCUGCUGGUAUGCUAUAUCAGCUGGCUUUAAACUUAUUAGCCGGCUCUGUACUGGAUCGGUUUGACUCGACGUGAUAAUAUUAUCGUUGAGGAUGCAUGUCUCAUGCAGCCGGAAAGUAUCAAAGCAGCUUCUAGCUUGCCUUUAGUGCACUUUUACAUUUUAGACCUCAGAUCAGGUGGGACUACCCUCUGAACUUAAGCAUAUCAAUAAGCGGAGGA
rnacentral:misc_RNA from 1 species